AAUCUUGACGGUAAAUCUCAAAAGCCGCCUCGCAACUCUGUUC
rnacentral:sRNA from 1 species